GAUGAACGCUAGCGGCAGGCUUAACACAUGCAAGUCGAGGGGCAGCAUGAGGGUUAGCAAUAACCCUUGAUGGCGACCGGCGCGAAGGGUGCGUAACGCGUGAGCAACUUGCCCGUUUCAGGGGGAUAACCGGUGGAAACGCCGACUAAUACCCCAUAGCAUUGGUUUGAGGCAUCUCUACUCAAUUAAAGAAUUUCGGAGAGGGAUGGGGAUGCGUUCCAUUAGGUAGUAGGCGGGGUAACGGCCCACCUAGCCGACGAUGGAUAGGGGGUUCUGAGAGGAAGGUCCCCCACACUGGAACUGAGACACGGUCCAAACUCCUACGGGAGGCAGCAGUGAGGAAUAUUGGUCAAUGGACGGAAGUCUGAACCAGCCAAGUAGCGUGCAGGAUGACGGCCCUAUGGGUUGUAAACUGCUUUUAUGUGGGAAUAAAGUCAGGGACGUGUCCCUGUUUGCAUGUACCACAGGAAUAAGGACCGGCUAAUUCCGUG
rnacentral:rRNA from 1 species